rnacentral:rRNA from 1 species
GACUACCGGGGUAUCUAAGCCUGUUUGCUCCCCACGCUUUCGCGUCUCAGCGUCACCAUAAGUCCAGCAAGUCGCCUUCGCCACUGGUGUUCCUGCGAAUAUCUACGAAUUUCACCUCUACACUCGCAAUUCCACUUGCCUCUACUUAGGUCCAGGUCGCCAGUUUUGAAGGCAGUUCCGAGGUUGAGCCUCGGGAUUUCACCCCCAACUUAACGACCCGCCUACACGCGCUUUACGCCCAGUAAAUCCGAACAACGCUAGCCCCCUUCGUAUUACCGCGGCUGCUGGCACGAAGUUAGCCGGAGCUUCUUCUUUGGGUACCGUCAUUAUCGUCCCCAACGAAAGGAUUUUACAACCCUAGGGCCUUCAUCAUCCACGCGGCAUGGCUGGAUCAGGCUUGCGCCCAUUGUCCAAGAUUCCCCACUGCAGCCCCCCGUAGG